rnacentral:rRNA from 1 species
AACGAACGCUGGCGGCAUGCCUAACACAUGCAAGUCGAACGAGACCUUCGGGUCUAGUGGCGCACGGGUGCGUAACGCGUGGGAACCUGCCCUUAGGUUCGGAAUAACUCCCCGAAAGGGGUGCUAAUACCGGAUAAUGUCUUCGGACCAAAGAUUUAUCGCCUUUGGAUGGGCCCGCGUUGGAUUAGCUAGUUGGUAGGGUAAAAGCCUACCAAGGCGACGAUCCAUAGCUGGUCUGAGAGGAUGAUCAGCCACACUGGGACUGGGACACGGCCCGGACUCCUGCGGGAGGCAGCAGUGGGGAAUAUUGGACAAUGGGCGAAGGGCUGAUCCAGCAAUGCCGCGUGAGUGAUGAAGGCGUUAGGGUAGUAAAGCUCUUUUACCCGGGAUGAUAAUGACAGUACCGGGAGAAUAAGCUCCGGCUAACUCCGUG